rnacentral:rRNA from 1 species
UACGGGGGGAGCAAGCGUUGUUCGGAUUUACUGGGCGUAAAGGGCGCGUAGGCGGCCACCGCAAGUCAAUUGUGAAAUCUCCGGGCUUAACUCGGAAAGGUCAACUGAUACUGCGGGGCUAGAGUGCGGAAGGGGCAACUGGAAUUCUUGGUGUAGCGGUGAAAUGCGCAGAUAUCGGGAGGAACACCAGUGGCGAAGGCGGUCGUCUGGGCAGAUACUGACGCUGAGGUGCGAAAGCGUGGGGAGCAAACAGG